UACGGAGGGGGCAAGCGUUAUUCGGAAUCAUUGGGCGUAAAGGGCACGUAGGCGGCCUGGCAAGUCAGUGGUGAAAUCCCUCGGCUCAACCGAGGAAUUGCCUUUGAAACUGCCAGGCUUGAGGCCGGGAGAGGGUGGUGGAAUUCCCAGUGUAGCGGUGAAAUGCGUAGAUAUUGGGAGGAACACCAGUGGCGAAGGCGGCCACCUGGACCGGUUCUGACGCUGAGGUGCGAAAGUGUGGGGAGCAAACAGG
rnacentral:rRNA from 1 species